UAGUGUUGGGCACUUCUACAUAUGUGACAUGUAUUACUGAGUUGAUAGUAGGGUCAGUCUCCAUGAUCUUUGUCACAGUAUUGGCAAGUCCUACAACGUACUAUUGUCAGGACCUGAGACUGAGCUUGAAUCGCAGUAUAGGUCUCUUGUUCUACUGAAUCAGUGUAGUACGUACUAACCCGCAGUGUGGAACCGAGGGUCUGGAAUUGCCCGCUAAUG
rnacentral:lncRNA from 1 species